rnacentral:rRNA from 1 species
GACGAACCGUGCGAACGUUGUUCGGAAUCACUGGGCUUAAAGGGUGCGUAGGCGGCUUUGUAAGUCAGUGGUGAAAUAUGGCAGCUCAACUGUCAAGGUGCCAUUGAUACUGCGGAGCUUGAGUACAGAUGAGGUAGGCGGAAUUGACGGUGUAGCGGUGAAAUGCUUAGAUAUCGUCAAGAACACCUAUAGCGAAGGCAGCUUACUAGGCUGUAACUGACGCUGAGGCACGAAAGUGUGGGGAUCAAACAGG